rnacentral:rRNA from 1 species
GAUGAACGCUGACAGAAUGCUUAACACAUGCAAGUCGAGGGGGAAGUGGUGCUUGCACCAUGGUAACCAUGGCGGACGGGUGAGUAACGCGUAAGGAACUUGCCUGCGGGACUGGGAUAACAGCAGGAAACUGCUGAUAAUACCGGAUAAGGUCAUUAAGCUGCAUAGCUUAGUGAUGAAAGGAGACGCCUUCGGAGAGCCUUGCGUCCUAUUAGCUAGUUGGAGGGGUAACGGCCCACCAAGGCGAAGAUAGGUGGCCGGACUGAGAGGGUGGACGGCCAAAAGGGGACUGAGAUACAGCCCUUAGUCCUACGGGAGGCAGCAGUGGGGAAUAAUGGACCAAGGGGGCAACCGUGAUGCAGCAAUUCUGUGUGCACGAAGACGGUUUUAGGAUUGUAAAGUGCUUUAAGCAGGGAAGCAGGAAGUGACGGUACCUGCAGAAGAAGCGACGGCUAACUACGUG